CUUGAACGCUGGCGGCAGGCCUAACACAUGCAAGUCGAACGAGUGGCGGACGGGUGAGUAAUGUCUGGGAAACUGCCUGAUGGAGGGGGCUAACUACUGGAAACGGUAGCUAAUACCGCCUACCAUCGGAUGUGCCCAGAUGGGAUUAGCUAGUAGGUGGGGUAAAGGCUCACCUAGGCGACGAUCCCUAGCUGGUCUGAGAGGAUGACUAGCCACACUGGAAUGGAGACACGGUCCAGACUCCUACGGGAGGCAGCAGUGGGGAAUAUUGCACAAUGGGCGGAAGCCUGAUGCAGCCAGGCCGCGUGUAUGAAGAAGGCCUGCGGGUUGUAAAGUACUUUCAGCGGGGAGGCGUUACCCGCAGAAGAAGCACCGGCUAACUCGGUGCCAGCCGCCGCGGUAAUAC
rnacentral:rRNA from 1 species